GCAGAAUACGCUUGCGCUGGUGCAGAGCAUCACAGACUUCAGCUCUGCCUUCCAAGCUGUGGGUGGCUCUGCCUGCUUUAACCCCUCCUUGAAGGGCAAGCUGCUGGAGAUCCUGACGGAGUUGCUGAAGAAGUAUUACUUGGGCACCCCUGUCUCCCCAGUGCCCCUCAAGGUGGUUCUGGCCCUGGAGCAGUUGAGCAAGCUGAAGCCCUCCUUAGGAGCCAAGGACAUGUGUGACAUGCUGAGUCUGUGCUGCAAGAAUGUUGUGUUGCACCCUUCAGCGGAGAUGAUGCUGAAGAUCAGGAAGUCACAGCAAGCAGCUCAGUACCUGCAGCUUCUGCAAGCAUCACUGAAAGCUCUGGGCCGGCUCAUGGUGGUCCUGCUCGAGACAGAGACCAGUGGCUUCUUUCAGAACAUAGUCCAUAGAUCCAUGACGUCAGACAACAUGUGGGAGCGCAAGAGGGCCCUGCAGAUCUGCUCCCAGCUGCUGGCUGCUUGUGAAGAGCGUGG
ensembl:lncRNA